rnacentral:rRNA from 1 species
CCCUUAGAUGUCCUGGGCCGCACGCGCGCUACACUGAUGCAUGCAACGAGUUUAUAACCUUGGCCUGAAAGGUCUGGGUAAUCUUUUGAACGUGCAUCGUGAUAGGGAUAGAUUAUUGCAAUUGUUAAACUUGAACGAGGAAUUCCUAGUAAACGCGAGUCAUCAGCUCGCAUUGAUUACGUCCCUGCCCUUUGUACACACCGCCCGUCGCACCUACCGAUUGAAUGGUUCGGUGAAGAUCUCGGACUUCGAUAUUUAUUCUUUAUUGAGUUUAUAUUGUGGGAAGUUAUCUAAACCUCAUCAUUUAGAGGAAGGUGAAGUCGUAACA